UAAACCAUGGAACGAUGCUAAUACGCAUAAUGCUACGGCCAAGAGGGAUCUUCGAACCUCUCGCGUCAAGAUAUGCCUAGUGGAUUAGCUAGUUGGUGAGGUAAUGGCUCACCAAGGCGACGAUCCCUAGCUGGUCUGAGAGGAUGAUCAGCCACACUGGAACUGAGACACGGUCCAGACUCCUACGGGAGGCAGCAGUGGGGAAUAUUGCACAAUGGGCGAAAGCCUGAUGCAGCCAUGCCGCGUGUAUGAAGAAGGCCUUCGGGUUGUAAAGUACUUUCAGUUGUGAGGAAGGGGGUAACGUUAAUAGCGUUAUCUCUUGACGUUAGCAACAGAAGAA
rnacentral:rRNA from 1 species